rnacentral:tRNA from 1 species
GCCUGGGUGGCUCAGUUGGUUAAGCGCCUGAUUUGGGCUCAGGACAUGAUCUCGCAGUCUGUGGAUUCAAGCCCCACGUCAGGCU